rnacentral:rRNA from 1 species
AUGGCCAACGUUGUCCUCAAUUUCAACGCGUUCCUAGAGAAAACCAAGCUGAAAGAUGAUGGCAGCAACUAUACGGACUGGGUCCGGAACCUGAGGCUCAUCCUUAUAGUAGCCAAGAAAGAUUAUGUCUUAGAAGCACCGCUAGGUGAUGCACCAAUCCCACAGAACCAAGACGUUAUGAACGCUUGGCAAUCACGUGCUGAUGAUUACUCCCUCGUUCAGUGCGGCAUGCUUUACAGCCUAGAACCGGGUCUCCAAAAGUGUUUUGAGAAACAUGGAGCAUAUGAGAUGUUUGAGGAGCUGAAACUAGUUUUCCAAGCUCAUGCCCGGGUCGAGAGAUAUGAUGUCUCCGACAAGUUCUUCAGCUGUAAAAUGGAGGAGAACAGUUCUGUUAGUGAGCACAUACUCAGAAUGGCUGGGUUGCACAACCGCUUGUCUCAGCUGGGAGUUAAUCUCCCGGAUGACGCGGUCAUUGACAGAAUCCUCCAGUCGCUUCCACCAAGCUACAAGAGCUUUGUGAUGAACUACAAUAUGCAGGGGAUGGAAAAGACCAUUCCCGAGGUAUACUCAAUGCUGAAAUCAGCAGAAGGGGAGAUCAGAAAAGAACAUCAAGUGUUGAUGGUGAAUAAAACCACCAAGUUCAAGAAGGGCAAGGGUAAGAAGAACUUCAAGAAGGACGGCAAGGGAGUUGCCGCGCCCGGUAAACCAGUUACUGGGAAGAAGUCAAAGAAUGGACCCAAGCCCGGGACUGAGUGCUUUUAUUGCAAGGGAAGUGGUCACUGGAAGCGGAACUGCCCCAAAUAUUUAGCGGACAAGAAGAAGGCCGGCAACACCCAAGGUAUAUGUGAUAUACAAGUAAUUGAUGUGUACCUUACCAGUACUCGUAGUAGCUCCUGGGUAUUUGAUACCGGUGCGGUUGCUCAUAUUUGUAACUCAAAACAGGAACUACGGAAUAAACGGAGACUAGCAAAGGAUGAGGUGACGAUGCGCAUCGGGAAUGGUUCCAAGGUCGAUGUGAUCGCCGUCGGCACGCUACCUCUGCAUCUACCCACGGGAUUAGUUUUAAACCUCAAUAAUUGUUAUUUAGUGCCAGCUUUGAGCAUGAACAUUGUAUCUGGAUCUCGUUUAGUUCGAGAUGGCUACUCAUUUAAAUCC